AAAAAGGGCUUCUGCUGUGACUGGUACAGGAGGGGCGGGGCUUCUGCUCCUCCUGCGGAAUCGCCAUCAAGAGAUUUCGGAAGCACAAUUUUUACUUCAGGGGCUGCUGGUGAUCAAAGAUCCGAGCGCCCCG